UACGUAGGAGGCAAGCGUUGUCCGGAGUUACUGGGCGUAAAGCGCACGUAGGCGGAUCGUUAAGUCGGGGGUGAAAUCCUGGAGCUCAACUCCAGAACUGCCUUUGAUACUGAAGAUCUUGAGUUCGGGAGAGGUGAGUGGAACUGCGAGUGUAGAGGUGAAAUUCGUAGAUAUUCGCAAGAACACCAGUGGCGAAGGCGGCUCACUGGCCCGAUACUGACGCUGAGGCACGAAAGCGUGGGGGAGCAAACAGG
rnacentral:rRNA from 1 species